rnacentral:rRNA from 1 species
UACUUAGGAAUCUGCCCAGUAGUGGGGACAACUCGAGGAAACUCGAGCUAAUACCGCAUACGCCCUACCGGGAAAGGCGGAGGAUCUUUCGGGACUUCGCGCUAUUGGAUGAGCCUAAGUCGGAUUAGCUUGUAGGUAGGGUAACGGCCUACCUAGGCAACGAUCCGUAGCUGGUCUGAGAGGACGAUCAGCCACACUGGGACUGAGACACGGCCCAGACUCCUACGGGAGGCAGCAGUGGGGAAUAUUGGACAAUGGGGGCAACCCUGAUCCAGCAAUGCCGCGUGUGUGAAGAAGGCC